rnacentral:rRNA from 1 species
GUGGGGAAUAUUGCGCAAUGGGCGAAAGCCUGACGCAGCGACGCCGCGUGAGGGAUGACGGCCUUCGGGUUGUAAACCUCUUUCAGCAGGGACGAAGCGCUUGUGACGGUACCUGCAGAAGAAGCGCCGGCUAACUACGUGCCAGCAGCCGCGGUAAGACGUAGGGCGCGAGCGUUGUCCGGAUUUAUUGGGCGUAAAGAGCUCGUAGGCGGUUUGUCACGUCUGUCGUGAAAGAUCCAGGCUUAACCUGGGUUCUGCGGUGGAUACGGGCAGACUUGAGGCAAGUAGGGGAGAACGGAAUUCCAUGUGUAGCGGUGAAAUGCGCAGAUAUGUGGAGGAACACCGGUGGCGAAGGCGGUUCUCUGGGCUUGUUCUGACGCUGAGGAGCGAAAGCGUGGGGAGCGAACAGGAUUAGAAACCCUUGUAGUCC